rnacentral:rRNA from 1 species
AUUGAACGCUGGCGGCAGGCCUAACACAUGCAAGUCGAACGAGAGGCGGACGGGUGAGUAAUGUCUGGGAAACUGACUGAUGGAGGGGGAUAACUACUGGAAGCGGUAGCUAAUAACGCAUACCAUCGGAUGUGCCCAGAUGGGAUUAGCUAGUAGGUGGGGUAAAGGCUCACCUAGGCGACGAUCCCUACCUGGUCUGAGAGGAUGACCAGCCACACUGGAACUGAGACACGGUCCAGACUCCUACGGGAGGCAGCAGUGGGGAAUAUUGCACAAUGGGCGCAAGCCUGAUGCAGCCAUGCCGCGUGUAUGAAGAAGGCCUUCGGGUUGUAAAGCACUUUCAGCUGGGAGGCGUUACCCGCAGAAGAAGCACCGGCUAACUCCGUGCCAGCAGCCGCGGUAAUAC